GACGAACGCUGGCGGCGUGCUUAACACAUGCAAGUCGAACGGAAAGGCCCUGCUUUUGUGGGGUGCUCGAGUGGCGAACGGGUGAGUAACACGUGAGUAACCUGCCCUUGACUUUGGGAUAACUUCAGGAAACUGGGGCUAAUACCGGAUAGGAGCUCCUGCUGCAUGGUGGGGGUUGGAAAGUUUCGGCGGUUGGGGAUGGACUCGCGGCUUAUCAGCUUGUUGGUGGGGUAGUGGCUUACCAAGGCUUUGACGGGUAGCCGGCCUGAGAGGGUGACCGGCCACAUUGGGACUGAGAUACGGCCCAGACGCCUACGGGAGGGAGCAGUGGGGAAUAUUGCACAAUGGGCGGAAGCCUGAUGCAGCAACGCCGCGUGCGGGAUGACGGCCUUCGGGUUGUGAACCGCUUUCGCCUGUGACGAAGCGUGAGUGACGGUAAUGGGUAAAGAAGCACCGGCUAACUACGUG
rnacentral:rRNA from 1 species